rnacentral:rRNA from 1 species
GCUCGAGUGGCGAACGGGUGAGUAACACGUGAGUAACCUGCCCUUGACUUUGGGAUAACUUCAGGAAACUGGGGCUAAUACCGGAUAGGAGCUCCUGCUGCAUGGUGGGGGUUGGAAAGUUUCGGCGGUUGGGGAUGGACUCGCGGCUUAUCAGCUUGUUGGUGGGGUAGUGGCUUACCCAAGGCUUUGACGGGUAGCCGGCCUGAGAGGGUGACCGGCCACAUUGGGACUGAGAUACGGCCCAG